rnacentral:rRNA from 1 species
AUUGAACGCUGGCGGCAGGCUUAACACAUGCAAGUCGAGCGGAGAUGAGGUGCUUGCACCUUAUCUUAGCGGCGGACGGGUGAGUAAUGCUUAGGAAUCUGCCUAUUAGUGGGGGACAACAUUCCGAAAGGAAUGCUAAUACCGCAUACGUCCUACGGGAGAAAGCAGGGGAUCUUCGGACCUUGCGCUAAUAGAUGAGCCUAAGUCGGAUUAGCUAGGUGGUGGGGUAAAGGCCUACCAAGGCGACGAUCUGUAGCGGGUCUGAGAGGAUGAUCCGCCACACUGGGGCUGAGACACGGCCCAGACUCCUACGGGAGGCAGCAGUGGGGAAUAUUGGACAAUGGGGGAAACCCUGAUCCAGCCAUGCCGCGUGUGUGAAGAAGGCCUUAUGGUUGUAAAGCACUUUAAGCGAGGAGGAGGCUACUGAGACUAAUACUCUUGGAUAGUGGACGUUACUCGCAGAAUAAGCACCGGCUAACUCUGUGCCAGCCGCCGCAGUAA